GGCGAGAUGGCCGAGCGGUCUAAGGCGCCAGACUAAGGAUCAGGACAUCUGAUGUUCAAUCAAUCUGGUCUUUCGGGGCGUGGGUUCGAAUCCCACUCUCGUCA